UUGCCAGACUCCUACGGGAGGCAGCAGUAAGGAAUAUUGGGCAAUGGAGGAAACUCUGACCCAGCAACGCCGCGUGAAGGAAGAAGGUCUUCGGAUUGUAAACUUCUGUUAUUAGGGAAGAAGAUAGUGACGGUACCUAAUGAGUAAGCCCCGGCUAACUACGUGCCAGCAGCCGCGGUAAUACGUAGGGGGCAAGCGUUGUCCGGAUUGACUGGGCGUAAAGGGAGCGUAGGCGGUUUGGUAAGUCAAAUGUGAAAGCCCGUAGCUUAACUACGGAAUUGCAUUUGAUACUGCUAGACUUGAGUUCAGGAGAGGUAAGUAGAAUUCCUAGUGUAGCGGUGGAAUGCGUAGAUAUUAGGAGGAAUACCAGUGGCGAAGGCGGCUUGCUGGAAUGACACUGACGCUGAGGCUCGAAAGCGUGGGGAGCAAACAGGAUUAGAUACCCUAGUA
rnacentral:rRNA from 1 species